rnacentral:rRNA from 1 species
UACGAAGGGGGCUAGCGUUGCUCGGAAUCACUGGGCGUAAAGGGUGCGUAGGCGGGGCUUUAAGGCAGGGGGGAAAUCCUGGAGCUCAACUCCAGAACUGCCUUUGAUACUGGGGAUCUCGAGUCCGGGAGAGGUGAGUGGAACUGCGAGUGUAGAGGUGAAAUUCGUAGAUAUUCGCAAGAACACCAGUGGCGAAGGCGGCUCACUGGCCCGGUACUGACGCUGAGGUGCGAAAGCGUGGGGAGCAAACAGG